rnacentral:tRNA from 1 species
GGGGUCGUGGUGUAGCUGGUUAACACAUCAGCUUGUCACGCUGAAGACCGCGAGUUCAAAUCUCGUCGACCCCGCCA